AGAUUGAACGCUGGCGGCAGGCCUAACACAUGCAAGUCGAGCGGCAGCACGGGUACUUGUACCUGGUGGCGAGCGGCGGACGGGUGAGUAAUGCCUAGGAAUCUGCCUGGUAGUGGGGGAUAACGCUCGGAAACGGACGCUAAUACCGCAUACGUCCUACGGGAGAAAGCAGGGGACCUUCGGGCCUUGCGCUAUCAGAUGAGCCUAGGUCGGAUUAGCUAGUUGGUGAGGUAAUGGCUCACCAAGGCGACGAUCCGUAACUGGUCUGAGAGGAUGAUCAGUCACACUGGAACUGAGACACGGUCCAGACUCCUACGGGAGGCAGCAGUGGGGAAUAUUGGACAAUGGGCGAAAGCCUGAUCCAGCCAUGCCGCGUGUGUGAAGAAGGUCUUCGGAUUGUAAAGCACUUUAAGUUGGAGGAAGGCAGUUACCUAAUACGUAUCUGUUUUGACGUUACCGACAGAAUAAGCACCGGCUAACUCU
rnacentral:rRNA from 1 species